GCAGCCAGGAGGCUUCAUAUCGAAGGUAGGGCUCAAGGAACUGAGCCAAUCUCAAACUGCAACUCGCUCAAACAAAUCCAGCAACUUAUUUUCAAUUGGUUCCAAUGAAAUAACCUGGAAGUAACUUCCACAAGGAAGUGAAGAGGCAAAAAGAAUCCUUUUUCGGGAUGACGAAAUUUGCUGAACAAAAAAGAGCAUGGCGGACGACAAGCAGCCAGUCAGUGAAAUCGAAAUGGACACAGAUCCUGUCUACCAGUGCCUUGAAAACUUCAAUGAUUGCGACCUUUAUAAGGUGACGACAUUCUACCGGGAGAGAUUGGAACAGGCAAUUGAAGAAGCGGUGAUAGGUGUCAGCUUGGUGUUAACGUACGAGGGACAUUUCAAUGGCCAGGAACAUCAGGCAAGUGAACAA